UAGACUCACCCAAAUCACUUGAAUUCCAACGACCUUCCAUGAAAAUCAACGAACCUGGAGAAAUAGGGGCCAUGCAAGUCCUCAUCCAUUCAAUAUAUAAUGUCUUGUUUGAUCACUUAAAAUUAAUUUAAAGUUGUCAUGUGAGUUGGGUUGACCGAUUAGACUAGUCCAAAAGCAGCCCGAAUCGAACCCAACCCGAAACAGAUAAGGUUGUCGGGUUUGGUGGUCAAUUAGG
rnacentral:lncRNA from 1 species